rnacentral:rRNA from 1 species
UACGUAGGUGGCAAGCGUUGUCCGGAUUUACUGGGCGUAAAGGGCAGGCAGGCGGAUCGUUAAGUAGAAAGUGAAAGGUCGGAGCUCAACUCCAACAUUGCUUUCUAUACUGGCGGUCUUGAGUCCCGGAGGGGAGAGCGGAACGACACGUGUAGCGGUGAAAUGCGUUGAUAUGUGUCGGAACACCAAUGGCGAAGGCAGCUCUCUGGACGGGUACUGACGCUCAUCUGCGAAAGCCGAGGUAGCGAACAGG